rnacentral:tRNA from 1 species
AGGAUAAUAGUUAAUUAUAACAUUUGAUUUGCAUUCAAAAGGUGUUGAUAUAUUCAACUUAUCUUA